UGUGUCCCAAUCCAAGAUCCAGCAAGCCGGGUGCAGCGCUUGCAACGGCCAACAAAGUGGAUAGAAUCUGUCAGAGGCACAACAUGAUUAGCUUUUAACUGAGAACUGCAACUGUAAAUUGAAUGCGUGCACUCAGUUACUUUUAUACUGCAACGCGACGCACGCAGUCAACGCGGAUAGCGGACAGCGGACAGUGGACGUUGGACAGAUGACUAGCUAGAUACCCAGUCCGUGCCUAGGCCAGGCGAAUUCAACUUCGAUUUCUAUUUCGAUUUCGAUCUCGUCGUUCAGCGUCAACAAAGCGGGCCAGAGCAGCACCAAUUUGUGAAGUAUCUUUGAAGUAGACAACGACAGCGACAACGUCCGAAUGCGAUUCUUGUUGUUGUUGUUGUUGUUGUUGUUGCUGCCAUUGCGGAUGACGCAACAGCUUUGGAUUGGCUGGCAAGGCAGACCACUUGUCGUCAGACGGGCAGGCUGGGAGUUUUUUUGUUUAUUUUAUUUUAUUUUUAUUUUUUGCAGCCGCGCACUCGCUCGGGAUUUCUAAUUAGAAAGCAGCAUUCAGUGGAGAAUUCUACAUGUUUUUGAUUUGUUUGAGCGCGUUGUUUUCUAACCAAAUUGGUUGCCUUUUUAACCUUGCGCUUAACCACUUAAUUAGCUUAGAACACAAAGUGUUUGGCACACAUACUUGCAUACAUAGUUCGUCCGUUUGGGUGUAUCUGAGGAAUCCAGGCGAGAAUGCUGUCUAAUUAUUCGCAGCUGCUCGACUAUUUGACACGGCCAACAAUUGCAUAAUUAUCAUUGCUAACAAAAAAGAAUGAGUAUAAAAAAAAUAAAUAAAAAUCACAAAAUUACAACAAAUUU